GAAAUGCGAUAAGUAAUGUGAAUUGCAGAAUUCAGUGAAUCAUCGAGUCUUUGAACGCACCUUGCGCUCCUUGGUAUUCCUUGGAGCAUGCCUGUUUGAGUAUCAUGAAAUCUUCAAAGUAAAUCUUUUGUUAACUCAAUUGGUUUCUACUUUGGUAUUGGAGGUCUUUGCAGCUUCACACCUGCUCCUCUUUGUUCAUUAGCUGGAUCUCAGUGUUAUGCUUGGUUCCACUCGGCGUGAUAAGUUAUCUAUCGCUGAGGACACUGUAAAAGGUGGCCAAGGUAAAUGCAGAUGAACCGCUUCUAAUAGUCCAUUGACUUGGACAAUACUUUUAUGAUCUGAUCUCAAAUCAGGUAGGACUACCCGCUGAACUUAAGC
rnacentral:misc_RNA from 1 species